AACACCGGUUUUAACACACGUCCCAUGCCCAGAAAAACCAAACCGACCCUUCUAUCCUUCCAGCGAUCCCACCCUUCCAUAUAAGCACCAAUCAAAUCAUAUUAAAUGGUCGGUUUAAAACCUUCCAUCCAAGACAUUUCCUUGUUAGCGCAUGUAUUUAUUGUUAAUAUCGCUACAAAUAUUUAUGUAAUCAAUUAGCUAUCAAAUAAAAUAUCUCAAGAUUAUUCUCCAACAAGCCAAAAGGAAACAACUUGUGUUAAUUCACAAAAUCAACCCACGAAAUAUACAUGGAAGCUAUGAUAUUUUCUUUUGGAAAGUAUUGCUCGUAUUCCAAAGGAAAUUCCAAAUCGAUCCGCCUAUUAAACAUGGAGAUUUCUUAAAGAAGUGUGUGCCCGUCGAUCCAUAGCUGCAACGCAAAGAACGCGCUGCUCGAUCAAAUCAACCGAGGGACGAGAGGAGAAAGGUCUCCGCCGGACUCCGCUUCCCCACCGCCGCGGAGCUGCCCGCUCCCCUCGCUCCAGAUCGAACUCCAUCCUGACCAGCCCAUCACGUCGAUUCCUUCGCCGACCGUCUACUCCGCUCAAUGCUGUCCCGCUGGACGCUCCUUCUCUCUUCUGCGCCUGGCCUUCCUCCACAACCUGGCGUCUCACUGUCGCCGUCGGCCAUCACCAGGUCGCCGCCUCCCAAACUCACCUACAGGUCGACCGGUACUCAUGAGAAUAGCAGAUCAGUACCUCUGGCCCUAAAAUCCCAUGUUCUUUUCUCUGGUCCGUUAAAUAUACUAUUUGGAAUCAGAUAUAUUUUACUCAUAUGAGGCAAUUUCUGCCAAAUUUGCUGAUAAUUUAGAAAGUGUGUUGCAUGCGUAAUCUUGAAUUCUUCUGUCAAUUUUGUCGUUGUCAAUUUUUGUUAGUUCAACAGGAAAACGAAUGUGAUGCACAUUGUAAGCUGCCAUGGACUGCUGAUACGACUCAUGCAUUACUUCAUGGUUCAUUAUGAGAGACGCGCAUUAACUUGGCAAUAUCAAAACUGGUGUUCCAUGAAACAACAGUCAUAAUAUUGCAGUCACUCGCCGAUGUGUAUCAGGACCGUUGACAUGACUGGAUCAUUUAGUGUUAGAAUAAUCUUAUAUUCUAGGAUGGAGGGAGUACCAUACCACUGUUUGUGCCUGAUUCGAAGAACAGUGAGGUGACUUUAGAUAGCUGUAAUGAGCUGAUGGAGCCUUUGACCUGAAGUUAUAUUUGUAUAGAUUACAUGAUUUGUUGAUGAGGAUAAGAAAGAGGAGCUGAUGGCGAACCAACCGAGGAAGGUCAUGGAAGAUUGAGGUUGGGCGCGAUGCCACAUCAGAAGUUAUUUAGGCUAUGGGCGAGUUAGGGGCCAUGGAGGAGUGAGCUGAUAGGAGGGUCGAGUAUGGUGCAUACAUGUCAACAUUGGUAGUCAGAACUUAUGUUGAGUGCGGAUGGGAAUGAUGGAAUGAGGACGGGCGUGCUGCAGUUUAGCAAUUUGUCAUUGCCAAAUGAUUCAAUCCCGGUGAGGUCAUUGUUGGAUAUGCAAGGUCUCACUUGGCAAGGUAUUCGAAGUUCUUAAGUGCUUAGGAACCUCGCUGUGUUUUCGUAUUGACGUGAUUAGCAAGUGUAUUUACCGAAGCAUAGAUGUAAUACGGGUUAUGUGCAGCACCGAAUCUGAGGUGGCUGCAGUCCAGUCGGUUCUGGCAUUGGAGAGUUAAGAGUGAAUCAGACUUAAUCAGAUGGCAUCGACACUGUGUUAAUCAUUGGAAGGUCUGUUGAGCGUUUGGGAAGAGAAGCAUGGGGCCAAUACGUACUUUUGGUUCUUAACCUAGGUGAUCUCAUUUAAAGUUGUUGCCGUUUGUUAAAGUCAUUCUUGAUAAGCUACACAACGCUUCAUGUAUUGCACUACUAAUGCCGUUUAUUUGGUGGCCAACCUCCUGUUCCACUCGUAUAUAGAUGAUUUGUUUUGUUUACUAAAAUGUGAAUAUAAGUGAAUCUAUCUUAAAUUAGUACAAUGAUUAUAAUUUGUCUUAAGUUAACACAAUGAUUAUAAUUUUGAAGUGUGGGUGUGACAGGGUUGAGGGAUUGUGAGUCGGAUAUGCCAUUAAUGGCACCAUGCUUGGAUUGGGGAGUAGAAGAGUAAUCAUUUUAUUUGUUUGACACGAUUAGUGUAUUAUGCACCGUAGCAAUGCAAGGGCAAUGAGCACGUGAAAGUAGAUGUUUUGCAUGCAUGGCUGGUGGAGAAACAUAUUUAGAGGAA